rfam:TPA: Bos taurus chromosome 6, whole genome shotgun sequence.
UAGCUCAGUUGGUAAAGCACCUGCCUGCAAUGCGGGAGAUCUGGGUUCAAUUCCUGG